rnacentral:rRNA from 1 species
GACGAACGCUGGCGGCGUGCCUAAUACAUGCAAGUCGAGCGCAGGAAACCGUCUGAACCCUUCGGGGGGACGACGAUGGAACGAGCGGCGGACGGGUGAGUAACACGUAAAGAACCUGCCCACGGGUCUGGGAUAACCACGAGAAAUCGGGGCUAAUACCGGACGGGUCAUCGGACCGCAUGGUCCGCGGAUGAAAGGCGCUCCGGCGUCGCCCGUGGAUGGCUUUGCGGUGCAUUAGCUAGUUGGUGGGGUAACGGCCCACCAAGGCGACGAUACAUAGCCGACCUGAGAGGGUGAUCGGCCACACUGGGACUGAGACACGGCCCAGACUCCUACGGGAGGCAGCAGUAGGAAAUCUUCCACAAUGGACGAAAGUCUGAUGGAGCAACGCCGCGUGAACGAUGAAGGCCCUCGGGUCGUAAAGUUCUGUUGUAAGGGAAGAACAAGUGCCGCAGGCAAUGGCGGCACCUUGACGGUACCUUGCGAGAAAACCACGGCUAACUACGUGCCAGCCGCCGCCGUAA